CCCCCACGUAAGAACCUUUUCAGCCUAGUGAGAUAUCCAGCGUAGAAUCGAAAAGCCACCGCUUGUUUGCACGUCGUACAAUGCUCAUGAUCUUCUUGGCAUUCUCCGCUCUUUCGCGGACACCGAAAAAAGCUCUAACCGCCGUCUACGUCAAUCACAGCUGCGUGGAAUCUUCUUCAGUGUCGGAGAAAGAUGCUCAGAGCUCAGCGAGCUUCCCGUAGUACUUCCUAAGAAAGAGAUUUCCAUGACUCCCCAGAAAGGCGGGUGUGCCCGAGUGACUUGGCCGUCGCUGCUGCAACCACGCAUUCAUUACGCGUAGAAGUUCAUCGAUGAAAAAACAUGGAAAUUCCACACACCUGCAGCUGACAGUCUUAACUGGGCCGCGGUGGACAGCGGUGAUGAAGAACCUGCCUGUCUCUUCAUCUCAUAACCUGGCGAGUCUUUCAGAUGGUCUGCAGGUCCUUCUAGGCAGCGGGAAGCCGCUUCGAGUUUCCUCUGACGCCUCUGCGUAGCGUGGUCCUUCCUUGCUUGAUUUGUGCACGAUCUCUCAAGUGCGGAAAGCCACAGAGUUCUGGAUUUUCUUGGAUGACUAAUUAUUGGAACAAAGACUUCGCUGCGCCGCUCCGCGGUCGACGAGUUGGGUUCCCGGCGUAGAUCCGUAAAGUCGUUAAUAUAAACAGGUUAAUAUGGAAUCCUUCUCUCGGCAUAACGCUGGGAGUGUGCACUGCUUUUUUUUCCUGCGUCUGUGUCACAGCUUGUCUCGAGUGUCUUUUUUGUCGUUCCAUUGACGCCCAGAACAAGAUGUGCAGUGAAUUUACUGUCGCAGAAUGUUGAACUCCAACACUGUCAGGUGCCUACCGCCCG
rnacentral:lncRNA from 1 species